rnacentral:rRNA from 1 species
GGUGAACGCUGGCGGCGUGCCUAAUACAUGCAAGUCGAGCGAAUGGAUUAAGAGCUUGCUCUUAUGAAGUUAGCGGCGGACGGGUGAGUAACACGUGGGUAACCUGCCCAUAAGACUGGGAUAACUCCGGGAAACCGGGGCUAAUACCGGAUAACAUUUUGAACCGCAUGGUUCGAAAUUGAAAGGCGGCUUCGGCUGUCCCUUAUGGAUGGACCCGCGUUGCAUUAGCUAGUUGGUGAGGUAACGGCUCACCAAGGCAACGAUGCGUAGCCGACAUGAGAGGGUGAUCGGCCACACUGGGACGGAGACACGGCCCAGACUCCUACGGGAGGUAGCAGUAGGGAAUCUUCCGCAAUGGACGAAAGUCUGACGGAGCAACGCCGCGUGAGUGAUGAAGGCUUUCGGGUCGUAAAACUCUGUUGUUAGGGAAGAACAAGUGCCAGUUGAAUAAGCUGGCACCUUGACGGUACCUAACCAGAAAGCCACGGCUAACUACGUGCCAGCCGCCGCAGUAA